ACACUCCCAAACGCUCUCUAAGAGUUGUCAUAUGAUCCAAGGCCAAAAUCAAAGGCUACCAAGUGAAUCCAACCCCAAGAAUCUUGUGGUGUAGCUCUAGUGCGUUGUGGUGACGUUGAAGGUUGGUCUAAGUGAGAGUAAACUCAUGUUUCGAUCUGACCUUUUUGAUUGAGGCAUGCAUAUAUAUCUAUGGUUGUGACAGUGUAUGCUCUCAGAGGCUUGUUAUGAGUUUCAGAUACAAAUAGUGAUUCAAACGAUACUUCACAAUAUGUGACUCAACUCAGCUGAAGGUUGUCACGCUCCUUUCUUCCGGAGCUUUCAAGUGAGCUGGUAGGUAUGAUGGUUUCAUAUAUGUACAUAGUUGGGUAUGGCGGGACGCUGUCCCGACCUUAUGGUGUUUAUGUACUCCUUAGAGGCUUGUAGACAGAGGUUAUGCAUAUUGAUGGUCAUGGCGGCCUUUUCGGCCCAUU